CAAAAAACACAUUGUCAUCUACCCCGACUAUGGUACCAAGAUGCAAAAAAGUCCAGAAGAUGCAAAUAUUCCCAAAGGGGUGGAAGCUCCUGGGACAACUGCCAAAGGUGCUGUAAGAAAAAGACUGGUCAAAGAAGACGACAGCGACUCACCCUGGGAUUCGGAGGAAUAUAUAUCGGACCCAGAGGUGGACAAAAAACACAUUGUCAUCUACCCCGACUAUGGUACCAAGAUGCAAAAAAGUCCAGAAGAUGCAAA